AUGAGCUCGGCCUCGGUCACCGCUUUCGAGAAGGAGCAUCUCUGGAUGUAUCUGCAGGCGCUCGGCUUCGAGCCAGGCCCAGCAACCAUUGCCUGCGGAAAGAUCGUGUCGCACACGCACCUCGGAGUUUCUGGACCAGUCACUCGCCAAAGAAGUUUUCAAAUUUUGUUGGCCCCCAUUUGACCAAAAAAGUGAUACUGAAUUCCGAAAACAUUGCUGUGAAUGGAUAAAAAGGAUUUCUGGUGAAUGUGGAAGUAGCUUUCCUCAAGUUGUUGGUUCACUAUUUCUUUCUCCUGGUGGUCCUAAGUUUAUUCAUCUGAUGUAUCAUUUUGCAAGAUUUGUUGCAAUGGAAUAUAUUAAAUCCAAUUCUAAAAAUUAUCAGUUAAGCAGAUACGAAACUUGACAUCUGAAUGUAUAGGAUUGGAAAACCAAAUAAAGAAAAUGGAACCCUAUGAUGACCACAGUAACAUAGAAGAAAAAAUUCAAAAGGUUCGGUCUUUGUGGGCUUCAGUGAAUGAAACGCUCAUGUUUUUGGAAAAAGAGAGAGAAGUUGUUAGUUCGGUCCUUAGUCUUGUUAACCAAUAUGCUUUAGAUGGAACUAAUGUUGCUAUUAAUAUUCCAAGGCUCUUACUUGACAAAAUUGAGAAACAAAUGUUUCAGUUGCACAAAGGAAAUGUUUAUGAGGCUGGAAAACUGAACCUCUUAACAGUUAUUCAGUUAUUAAAUGAAGUCUUGAAGGUGAUGAAAUAUGAACGUUGUCAGGCUGAUCAAGCAAGAUUGACGGUAGACCUUCACUACCUUGAAAAAGAGACCAAAUUUCAGAAGGAAAGAUUGUCAGAUCUGAAACAUAUGAGGUAUAGAAUAAAAGAUGAUCUCACAACUAUAAGACAUUCUGUUGUUGAAAAGCAAGGAGAAUGGCAUAAAAAGUGGAAAGAAUUUCUUGGUUUGUCUCCUUUCAGUCUAAUUAAAGGUUGGACUCCAUCUGUAGAUCUUUUACCACCAAUGUCUCCCCUUUCGUUUGAUCCUGCCUCAGAAGAAGUGUAUGCAAAGAGUAUUCUUUGUCAGUAUCCUGCUUCAUUUCCAGAUACACAUAAGCAACAUAACCAAGAAAAUGGUUGCAGAGGAGACAGUGAUACCUUGGGAGCUCUACAUGAUCUAGCCAACAGCCCUGCCUCUUUCUUGUCGCAGUCAGUUUCAUCAUCAGAUAGAAACAGUGUUUCACUACUUGAAAAGGACACAAAGAUGGGAACUCCCAAAGAAAAAAAUGAAGCAAUUUCUAAGAAAAUACCAGAAUUUGAAGUGGAAAAUUCUCCAUUAUCAGAUGUUGCAAAGAAUACAGAGAGUAGUGCAUUUGGAGGGUCUUUACCAGCUAAAAAAAGUGAUCCAUUUCAAAAAGAGCAAGAUCAUCUGGUAGAAGAGGUUGCCAGAGCAGUUUUAUCUGAUUCACCACAGCUCUCUGAAGGAAAAGAAAUAAAAUUAGAGGAACUAAUUGACUCUCUGGGUUCUAACCCCUUCUUAACAAGGAAUCAGAUUCCCCGUACUCCAGAAAAC
rnacentral:lncRNA from 1 species